rnacentral:rRNA from 1 species
CUUAGAAGCAGCCACUCAUUUAAAGAGUGCGUAAUAGCUCACUGGUCGAGUGAUUGUGCGCCGAAAAUGUACCGGGGCUAAACUGUGUACCGAAGUCUAGGGAUCGUGAUAAACGAUCGGUAGGGGAGCAACGUGUGCGGGCUGAAGCCGAAGCGGAAGCGACGGUGGACUGCACGGGAGAGAGAAUGCCGGCAUGAGUAGCGAGAGCAAAGUGAGAAUCUUUGCCGUCGAAAGCCUAAGGUUUCCUGAGGAAGGCUCGUCCUCUCAGGGUAAGUCAGGACCUAAGCCGAGGACAAAAGUCGUAGGCGAUGGACAACUGGUUGAUAUUCCAGUACCACCUUUAGCGUUUGACUGAAGCAGUGACACAGAAGGAUAGACAGAGCGCGUGACUGGUAGAGCGCGUCCAAGCGAUGAGGGAGUUAAGUAGUGAAGAACGCUUAACAAUCCUGGGUCGUGAUGGGGACUGAAAAUAAGUAGGGAAGCUGUUGAAUUCACGCUGGCGAGAAAAGCUGCUAAGGAGCGAAAGGGUGCCUGUACCGCAAACCGACACAGGUAGGCGAGGAGAGAAUCCUAAGACGAGCGGGAGAACCCAUGUUAAGGAACUCGGCAAAAUGACCCUGUAACUUCGGGAUAAAGGGAGCCACGAGAGUGGCCGCAGAGAAUAGGCCCAAGCGACUGUUUACCAAAAACACAGGUCUGUGCGAAGUAGAGAUACGACGUAUACGGGCUGACGCCUGCCCAGUGCCGGAAGGUUAAGGGGAAGUGUUAGGGCAACCGAAGCACGGAACUUAAGCCCCGGUGAACGGCGGCCGUAACUAUAACGGUCCUAAGGUAGCGAAAUUCCUUGUCGGGUAAGUUCCGACCCGCACGAAUGGCGUAACGACUUGGGCACUGUCUCAACAUGGGACCCGGCGAAAUUGUAGUAUGUGUGAAGAUGCACAUUACCCGCGAUAGGACGGAAAGACCCCGUAGAGCUUUACUGUAGUUUAACAUUGGAUUUCGGUAACAUAUGUACAGGAUAGGUGGGAGGCGAAGAACCAGGGACGCCAGUUUCUGGGGAGCCAACCUUGGGAUACCACUCUUGUGUUAUUGGAGUUCUAACGAAUUGCCGUGAACCGGGAUUCGGACAGUGUUAGAUGGGCAGUUUGACUGGGGCGGUCGCCUCCUAAAGAGUAACGGAGGCGUCCAAAGGUUCCCUCAGAAUGGUUGGAAACCAUUCGCAGAGUGUAAAGGCAGAAGGGAGCUUGACUGCGAGACCGACAGGUCGAGCAGGUGCGAAAGCAGGGCUUAGUGAUCCGGCGGUAUGAGAGUGGAAUUGCCGUCGCUCAACGGAUAAAAGCUACCUCGGGGAUAACAGGCUUAUCUCCCCCAAGAGUCCACAUCGACGGGGAGGUUUGGCACCUCGAUGUCGGCUCAUCGCAUCCUGGGGCUGUAUUCGGUCCCAAGGGUUUGGCUGUUCGCCAAUUAAAGCGGCACGCGAGCUGGGUUCAGAACGUCGUGAGACAGUUCGGUCCCUAUCCAUCGUGGGCGCAGGAGAUUUGAGAGGAGCUGUCCCUAGUACGAGAGGACCAGGAUGGACGCACCAAGGGUGAAUCAGUUGUUCUGCCAAGAGCAUAGCUGGGUAGCCAAGUGCGGAUCGGAUAAACGCUGAAGGCAUCUAAGCGUGAAGCCGACCUCAAGAUAAGAUCUCCCACCAGAAAUGGGUAAGACCCCUGGAAGACUACCAGGUUGAUAGGUCGGAGGUGGAAGUGCAGCAAUGCAUGCAGCUGACCGAUACUAAUAGGUCGAGGGCUUGAUCAA